rnacentral:rRNA from 1 species
GAGUGGCGGACGGGUGAGUAACACGUAGGUAACCUUCCCAGAAGUGGGGGACAACAUUUGGAAACAGAUGCUAAUACCGCAUAACAGCGUUGUUCGCAUGAACAACGCUUAAAAGAUGGCUUCUCGCUAUCACUUCUGGAUGGACCUGCGGUGCAUUAGCUUGUUGGUGGGGUAACGGCCUACCAAGGCGAUGAUGCAUAGCCGAGUUGAGAGACUGAUCGGCCACAAUGGGACUGAGACACGGCCCAUACUCCUACGGGAGGCAGCAGUAGGGAAUCUUCCACAAUGGGCGCAAGCCUGAUGGAGCAACACCGCGUGAGUGAAGAAGGGUUUCGGCUCGUAAAGCUCUGUUGUUAAAGAAGAACACGUAUGAGAGUAACUGUUCAUACGUUGACGGUAUUUAACCAGAAAGUCACGGCUAACUACGUGCCAGCAGCCGCGGUAAUACGUAGGUGGCAAGCGUUAUCCGGAUUUAUUGGGCGUAAAGAGAGUGCAGGCGGUUUUCUAAGUCUGAUGUGAAAGCCUUCGGCUUAACCGGAGAAGUGCAUCGGAAACUGGAUAACUUGAGUGCAGAAGAGGGUAGUGGAACUCCAUGUGUAGCGGUGGAAUGCGUAGAUAUAUGGAAGAACACCAGUGGCGAAGGCGGCUACCUGGUCUGCA